UGCCAAGAACUCAACGAUGAUGCAAUGCCAUGAGAGCAAUGCAAAGGCUGCCCAUCUGAGAGUCUGAAGCAAAGGGAAUUAACUCCUGGUCCAGGGGAUGUAUAACCUGGCCUGGAAGGUGUUGUGCCUGUGUUGAGCUAGCUGGCUUGGAGGACCAUUGAUUAAAGGGGGAGUGAUUGCUUUUUGUCCUUUGGUAAGUGAAAGAACAGAAGAAGAUGAUUAUUUGGAAAAGAAGAAUCACCAGUCACUGGUUUUGGUGCACUCCCUUCAUCCAUCCAUCAUUAGACGGUGUUUCCCCAGAGAUGAUAAGAUGUGACUGCCUGAAGCAAAUGCAUAUUAUCUCUUCCUGGGCAGACCUUUCCUUCUUUCCAAGAUACUAUUGACUUCCUCCCGUUACCCUUAAUCAUCAGCAAAUGCCCCCUUAAAGUCCCCAGUGCGCAGGCUCCAUGUCAUGUCCAUGGACUUCUAUGCAUAUCAGCUUAGAGUUCAGCAUCAGAUGGAGGGAAGGCUGAAUCAACAUGAUGGCUUCCUUCCAAAAUAAAGGAGAAUGAAAAGACAAUGUAAAACAACACACCUAGAAACAUCUGUUAUUCUCAACCACAGUAUUGGAGGAUGGGCUGCCCAUGCAGUGAAGGUUAGGUAGCAGUACAGGAUCACAUUGAGAGAGGAUUCAUUGGCCAAUAUCUCAGACAAUUAAGGCAGAGCCCAGGACUCCAUCCUAAGUGGUGCACUCAGAUGAACAAAAUGAGCAGUUCUCUUCGAACACAGAAAUGGGGGGAGCUUUCCUGGAUUCUCUUUGGAAUGACUCUUUCAUACCAAGAAAGCGAGGGCUAAAUGAUGAAUUACUGUAACCCAGGCUUCUCACUGUGGCCAGAUAGAGUGACAGGGACCAGAUGUACUCUUUCACCUGAAACAACCUACUGAAAAAAGGAAAAAAUUUAUAAAACUAUGGUUUCUAAGAACCUGGACCUCAGACAACAGUGAUCCACGAAAGAUGGAAAACAAAUGACGUAAAUCCUACUGUUUCCCACACUUACUGCCCUGAGAGAGUUUCAGGCUCUGGAGCAGGAAGGGGUAACUCAGAGCCCAGUGGACACCCUGAACUGAGGAGAUGGGGUUGGGAAUCUGAGGAAGUCUAGGUGGCUAGAGUUUGUAGGGCAGACGGACACAGAGAGGACAGAGCUGCCCGGGCAGAGCAGCCUGGACAUCAGCAGAGGCGGACUAUGAGGAUAAGGCAGAACAUUGAUCAGUGUGGGCCAUGAGGAAACUGCUCCUGACUCAGGAAAAAACCACCAGAAAGACUACAGGAGAGAGUACCUGGUGCUCUGACAGGGGCAGAAAAGCAUCCAUUUCCACCAGACCAGACACCUCAACAUGUAUGAGGUGUUGGUAGAACACUCAGAGGAAUCUUGCCUGGGGGUGAGGGAUAUGCAACCCUAGAAUAAAUGCUGCUUUGGGCUUGUCUAAAGAUUGCUGAACAUUAGUCUCAAAAGAAGGAAGCCAUUUCAGGUAACACCAUCACCGAGGUUUGCAGGAAGCUAGCUUUUGGUGAGGAGAGUGGGAGAGAAGUCUGCAGUGUGGAAGGCACUGCAUGGCUUGCCUUGACUGCUGGUGAGAAAUCAUGGCUACAAAUGGCUAUGAGAACUCACACGCUUCACCCCACCACCAGCCAUGAUGAGAAUCCCUGCCAACUCCAGCCUGCCACCAGCAGCAGGUGAUCUGGAGAACUCUCACAUUCAGAGAUGAGCAAUAAACAGAAAAGCGCAGAAAAUCUGUCUUUGAAAGUAAUCAAAGGCACAGGAAAACCAAAAACAGGAUAUUACCAGAGAAGGAUACCUCAACAAGAGCACAUGUUCCAGAAGGUACCAUAAAUCAGAUGGAAAAUAUGACUAAACAGAUCACCAAAAUUUUUUGGGGGGGUAAAAUACAAAUGCUUUUGUCAAAUAAAAAUCCAAGGUAGAAAAAUAUGGAGGUGGCAGAGGCCCUGGAAGAUAAAGCAUGAGGAUAGAACGAGAUACAAUCAGGACUGGAGCACCUUACAAAAGAAAAGGAGGAGAAAAAUAAAACCAUCAUGGAAAGACAGGCACACUUACAGGACUGAAAAAACCAAACUGAUAAGCUAAUCAAUAAAUGAACAACCACAGCCUUAAGAGAUGUAGAGGUCGGUAUCCAGAAUAGUGAGCACAAAGAAAUGGAAUGAACACAAUUAAAAACAACGCAAAUGGUGAAUAUGAAAGAGAAGCAAGGGGAGUUGAGUAAGCACAGGUUGGCUCCAUAGAGAAAAGAAAUAAAAUGCGAGAUUAGAAAACUGGAUUUAAAUAUUAAGAAGACUUUUCAAAAAUAAAAGAAGAUUUGAAUCUUUUUCAGUAGUUCCUUUGCUUCUUUCAACACCCAACCCAAGACUGGUCUUCUCCAGAAAGCCUUUUACCCAACUGCACACUGAACUUACUCCAUUCUGGCAGCACAAAUUGGUAGAUGUUCUAAUGUUUCUUCCCUCCAGUUAUUAUGCUGCUGUUUUUAGUUUGGAGGAUAGGCAUUUUUGUGAAGACUGGGGCUGCAGCUUUCUCCUUUUAUGACCUCCUUUAUACCCUGUACAGACUAUUUCCAGAGUCGGUGCUGUGUAAACAAAUGGAACAAAUACAUAAAACACAAAUUUUCUCCAUGGCUUAAUGCAAGGGUCUCUGGGUACCGAUCUGGCAGUUCAGUCCUGUUGCUGAGGUUGCUAGUUAGCCCUCUGAUACUGAUUUUCUGGUAUUCUCUUAAAGGUAAGUGAUUAACUGAAGAAGGGCAAAUAUUUGAUCAGGACACUGGAAGCCAAAAUAUGCUUUUUUCCCCUCCUCUUCUCUAUUGCCAAAUAUUCUGAUUUAAUUAAAGGUGAAAGUACAGUCAAGAAUGCUGGACAGGAGUCAGGGCGCUGGAGUUGUCAUGAGGGGCUUAUCGCUGACCAGCCACGUGUCCUCACGUUAGUCACUUGAUCCUUGUUAUGUUGUAUCUUGGGACUAGAAUUGUUUCUGCCUCAUUGUAGACACUUAAUAAUUAUACUUCCAAUGAAAAAAUAGUCAGUCUCGGUUUCCUCCUCUGUAAAAUAACAAGUGCGUACUAGCAUGGUCUCUAAACACUCUUUUUACCAUAAAAACCUAAAAAUUACCUGCUUUCCUCUGGUUGGCAAGCAUUUAUGCUCUGUACUUUCGGUCGUAGUAAUUCGGUAAUGCCUGUUGUUUUUAUGGAGGAUGUGUUUGUACCCACACGUGCUGUUGACAUGAUCCAUGUAGAUUCAGUGUCCAUCCUCACUUGCACGACUUUCGAGAACAGCCAAAAAGUCCAGAGGGCACACUGAAGGAUUCUUACAGGAAGCUUAUAGCCUGUCUCCUUUGGCUAAUUUGCAAAAGCAUUUUUUGAUUUAAAACAGAAGGAGGGAGAAUCCCUGGGAGAAAACUCACAUCCACUAAUGUUCCUUCUGGAGUGAGUUAUGAAAGAAAGCCCCAGAUGGAUUAGAGACGAAGGUUAAACUUUGAGACACUAAUUUAUUGAAAAGGUAAAGAUAAAAGAACAAAAGUGCCCUGAAUGUUAUGUCCAUGUGUCCUUCUUGCCCCAUGCCCCAUGCAUUCCAGUAAUUUAAGGAUCUCUGAAAGGGAUAUGUGUUUCUAUAGAGAUGAUUUCAUGCAGAUCUCUAAAGAUAAUCUUUGGAAACAACUGAAAUGAUCAUUCUAAUUAGAUUCUCCAAUUAAACAAAAAAUGGACAAACUUUAAAGAAGAUAUUUCAGUUUGAAAACAGCAAGCCUAGCAGAACUGUUUGGGGGCAAAGGUAUCAAAGCCUACAGUGGUAUUCUGGAAAAAUAUUUUUGUGUACAGUGAAUUCAGUGAUGUUUAAAACCAUAUUUCAUCAAUUGGAAGUUACCCAUUAUUUGUACAUUUCUGAAAUUGUUUUAUAACCAACAAAGUCUUACAAUACUGCAGGUCAGGUGAGAGUUGGGGUCAGUUGUCACCGAAUACCCACAUAUGGACCUGGUUAUUACUCCUGGUGGAGCCAUAACUUUGUAAUAUUUCAGUCAAUACACCUUGUAAGGCCCAUUUGAGAAAAGGAUAUGCAUACUGAUUCUUUUCUGAAAAGCUUCUGUUGACACCAUCUGGUAAGAUUGAAAAAAGCACCUUCAUCUAAACUUGCAGAAUUGGGGGCAGUUGGUUGGAAGAAAGUUCUGGGCACAAUAAUGGUGUACUUUUAUGAAAUGCUCUAUCACCAACAUGCUUGAGGAAGGGGACAUAGAGGAUAAAAUUUUAAAUCUUUAUAUAUUUUCUAAAUAUCAUUUUAAUAUCUAUUUUUGUUUUUCUUCUUCUCUCCCUAAAUUCCAGGUAAUAAUCAUGCAUCCACACAGCUGCCAUUUGGUAGUGUUGUCUGAAUGGCUGAUGAAGAUGUAGUGUCCAAAUGAACUUUGGAGAGCACAUUAAAAAGAAAAUCUUUAUGGAAUUCUUCAAAAAUUGUUUCUUUAAAAAUGAGAU